GAGGCAGAGAAGAGGGCAGGCGAGUGUGGCAAAGGCGAAAUUUUUAAUGGAGUCAGCAGUACAGAUGAUCCCGCUCCUCUGAACCCCAGAGCCGCGCAUCCAGCUGUCAACUUGCCAUCCUCACUGUGUCAAAGGUACUUCAAACCUGAGUGUCCAAAACGAGACAUACUUCCCUCCCAAAUCCGGUCCUUUCUGGUGUCUAUCUCAGGGAGUAGCACCUCCCUUCCUUCAGCUAUGAAAACCGGGGACCUCUUGCUCGUUACCUGCCUCCUCGCCGUCUCUUGUCCAAUCAUUAUGAAGCCCUAGUAAUUUUCCCCGUAAACAUCUGUUGACUCUGACCCCUUCUCUUUGGCUCUACUGCUCUCAGAGUCCUCACUUC
rnacentral:lncRNA from 1 species